GGGAAUCUUUAGUGCAGCUCGUGUAUGGUGGAUGUUUAGAGUUUUUGGACAUGACAGAGUUUGGGUUCUAGAUGGUGGCUUGCCAAGAUGGCGUGCUUCUGGAUAUGAUGUCGAAUCCAGUGCAUCUGGUGACGCAAUUUUGAAAGCUAGCGCUGCCAGUGAAGCAAUAGAGAAAGUAUAUCAACGACAGGCUGUUGCACCUAUUACCUUUCUGACCAAAUUUCAACCACAUCUCGUCUGGACCCUUAAUCAGGUUUGGAAGAACAUUGAAGAGACAACAUAUCAACAUAUAGAUGCUCGAUCCAAAGCUAGGUUUGAUGGUGUUGCACCAGAGCCUCGUAAAGGAAUAAGAAGUGGUCAUGUACCUGGGAGCAAGUGCAUUCCUUUUUCCCAGAUGCUUGAUGGUUCUCAGACACUAUUAUCGAAUGAAGAGCUCAAGAAAAAAUUUGAUCAGGAAGGUAUCUCUUUGGACAAACCUAUAGUAACUUCCUGUGGCACUGGAGUAACAGCUUGCAUACUUGCCUUGGGCCUCCAUCGACUUGGAAAGACUGAUGUUCCAGUCUAUGAUGGUUCGUGGACAGAAUGGGGAGGGCAUCCAGAUGUACCGGUCUCUACAUCUGAAGCAUAGAUUCUACAUGCUUUGAACAAGUGCUUCUACAUAUGACUUUACAAGGUCUACUUUGUCUGUAUAAUUUCUUGGUGGUGAAAAUGACAGCAGGUGUUGUAUCAUGGAAUAAUGAAACAAUAUGAUAUUCAAAGUUAGUUAUGACACAUAAAUAUGUCCAGAGUCUUAUAGGGCGGGAAGCCAAAUUUGAGGGUCUGGAGACGAGUUGGCAAUGGAUUGUUAUCCUGUCAGGACUUAUUUGCAACAUUGUUAUGUUAGGGACUUGAGACCUGAUUUUGAGAGAAAGAGAUAGUGGUAUAUUGGCCAGUUUAGAGGUAUUGUUUCCCAACUAUUAUUGGUCAAGUUGUUGAAUUUGACGAGGAGUCGAAUUUUUCUGAUCUUUCAUAAGCAACAAGCAUGUGCAUACUAGCACCACCACAAUAACAGAAUGAAGAG
rnacentral:misc_RNA from 1 species